GGCAGUUUAGUUUAAUGGUAAAACACUUGACGCGUAAUCGCAGAGAUGUGAGUUCGAGUCUCAUGGCUGGCCA
rnacentral:tRNA from 1 species